rnacentral:rRNA from 1 species
GACGUAGGGUCCAAGCGUUGUCCGGAUUUACUGGGCGUAAAGAGCGCGUAGGCGGUCUGUUAAAUGUAGAGUGAAAUCUCUGGGCUCACCCCAGAAACUGCUCUGCAUACUGGCAGACUUGAGGGAUGCAGAGGUUUGUGGAAUUCCUGGUGUAGCGGUGAAAUGCGUUGAUAUCAGGAGGAACACCAAUGGCGAAGGCAGCUCGCUGGGACGGUACUGACGCUGAGACGCGAAAGCGUGGGGAGCAAACAGG